rnacentral:rRNA from 1 species
CUACGGGAGGCAGCAGUGAGGAAUAUUGGUCAAUGGGCGGAAGCCUGAACCAGCCAAGUCGCGUGAGGGAAUAAGGCCCUACGGGUCGUAAACCUCUUUUGCCGGGGAGCAAGGGCGGGGACGUGUCCCGGCCCGGAGAGUACCCGGAGAAAAAGCAUCGGCGAACUCCGUGCCAGCAGCCGCGGGAAUACGGAGGAUGCGAGCGUUAUCCGGAUUUAUUGGGUUUAAAGGGUGCGUAGGCGGGCUUUUAAGUCAGCGGUAAAAAUUCGGGGCUCAACCCCGUCCGGCCGUUGAAACUGGGGGGC